UCCUGCUGGUGACCCCAUGGUCCUACGGGCAGGAGUUGGCUUAUUAGGCCUUCCCAGAACUCGCAGUUCUCAGUGUGGCCAGGCAUCAGGGAAUUUCUGCUCAGGCAUCGCUGAACAGCUCUAGAAGAUACCCUGUGGUAGGAUCCAUCAUGGAAAACAGCAGCUCUCCAGGAAUGAUCCCACAUUCCAGCACCAGACUGGGACUGCAGAGACAUCCAGACUGAACAACUACCAGAUUCUCGGGCUCUCCAUUGAGAGACAGGCUUUGCUGGAUUACCAGGACUAUGUCCUAAGCCAAAACAAACAAACAAAAACCGUGAAAUCACCUGACCUUGCAUUGGAACCUAAAGAAGCUGAAUAAACCUUUCUCUUUACAAGA